GAUGAAGAACGUAGUGAAAUGCGAUACGUAAUGUGAAUUGCAGAAUUCAGUGAAUCAUCGAAUCUUUGAACACACAUUGCGCCCGCCAGCACUCUGGCGGGCAUGCCUGUUCGAGCGUCAUUUCAACCAUCAAGCCCCAGGCUUGCGUUGGAGCCCUGCGGCUGCCGCAGCCUCCUAAAAGCAGUGGCGGGCUCGCUAUCACACCGAGUGCAGUAGAUUACUCUUCGCUCAGGGCGUGCAGCGGGUUCCGGCCGUGAAACCCCCUACUUUUAAAGGUUGACCUCGGAUCAGGUAGGAAUACCCGCUGAACUUAAGCAUAUCAAUAAGCGGAGGA
rnacentral:misc_RNA from 1 species